UGGGGAAUUUUGGACAAUGGGGGCAACCCUGAUCCAGCCAUUCCGCGUGAGUGAAGAAGGCCUUCGGGUUGUAAAGCUCUUUUGUCCGGAACGAAACGGGUAGCGUGAAUAUCGCUGCCUACUGACGGUACCGGAAGAAUAAGCACCGGCUAACUACGUGCCAGCAGCCGCGGUAAUACGUAGGGUGCGAGCGUUGUCCGGAUUUACUGGGCGUAAAGAGCGCGCAGGCGGUCGUUCAAGUCGAGUGUGAAAGCCCCCGGCUCAACUGGGGAGGGUCACUCGAUACUGGUCGACUCGAAGGCAGGAGAGGGAAGUGGAAUUCCCGGUGUAGUGGUGAAAUGCGUAGAUAUCGGGAGGAACACCAGUGGCGAAGGCGACUUCCUGGCCUGUUCUUGACGCUGAGGCGCGAAAGCUAGGGGAGCAAA
rnacentral:rRNA from 1 species